UAUUUAUUUUAGAGCAGCUCGUUGACAGACGCCGUGUUGCUGCCGGCUAGGUUUGCUGGGCUCUCCAGCGAUGAUUGUUUGGGUUGAGCAUUGAACAUAUACAGCAGAUGCUAAAAUGUCUUCUUAGACCAUACUACAAACAAUCAUUCAUUCAGAAGAGCAGUUUUUUUUUUGGUUUCAUGAUGAAUUAGGUCUUUUGAAAUGUUUUAAUGACGGGACGGCCAUGAAAAACCUGUUGGCCAUGAAGGGACGGGCCAAAAUCCCCAUUUCCUUCCAACCGCCGACGAAUCUAAUCCAGGAAUUGGAUUCAUGCGCAUGCUGCCGCUGGCGACCACUGGCACCUAGUCUCGGCCAGAGCCUUGGCUUGCCCUGUACAUGGAAACACGCAGCGGCAGUCGCAACUCAGCGCCGUCGCCCCAGCAGCCAUCGACGCCCUCCUCACGCGCCGCCGGCAACAAGGGAAAGGACCCCGAUCUGUCCGUUGGUGACGCCGACGUUCCUUUCCCCCAGCCCUUCACCUCCGGUCAGGUUCCUCGCCGGCCUGCAGGCGCACGGCGACGAGUCGCGCCAGCUCCAGUCGCUCAUGCAGCUCUGCGAGAUGCGCUCCAUCGGCUCCGAGGACUUGCUCGCCGCCUUCGUCCCAAUCCUCGUCGGGAUGCUCGGCCAGCCUGCCACCGCUGGUGCCAGCCCAGGCGUCAUGCUGCUCGCUGCGCGGGCACUAGCCAACCUCGUUUAUGUGCUCCCCUCCUGCUCCGCGGUCGUGCACUACGGGGCCAUACUGUUGUGCUCGACUGCUCACCGUUGACAACAUGGAGCUCGCCAAGCAGAUCUCUGAGGAGCACGCACCCAACCGCCUGUUUGCGAGCUGGUGCGCUAAUGGCUGUUCUAAAGCAACUUGACUUCUUCUCCACUGAGGUUCAGAGGGUAGCCUUGUCUACGGCCGCAAAUAUUUGCAGGAAUCUGCCGGCCGAUGCUUCUGAGUUUGUCAUGGAAGCUGUCCCAUCGCUCACGAAUCUCCUAAACCACCAUGAUUCCAAGGUACUAGAGCAUGCUUCUGUUUGUUUGACAGUGACACGCAUUGCUGAAGCUUUUGCCUAUUACCCCGACGAACUUGAUGAACUCUGCAAUCAUGGAUUAGUUGCUCAAGCUGCUAGCUUGAUAGCUCUUGGCAACUCCUCUGGCCAGGAACCACUGAGUACAUCUACAUAUACAGGCUUAAUCCGUCUUCUCUCAACAUGUGCAAGUGGAUCCCUGCUGGCAGUUAAAACACUACUACUUCUUGGGAUCAGCGGUACUCUUAAAGAUUUCCUUUCUGGCCCUGCUUUGAUUUCUGGAACAUUAGUCCCCCGUGCUGUAACAAGGCCUGCCGAUCAGAUAUUUGAGAUUGUGAUCCUUGCUGAUAAUUUGCUUCCGCAUAUGCCUGCGAUAAUCAUUGAGUUACCAACAUACUACCAUGCAUAUAAAGACUCUUCAACAAAUAAAUCUGCUUCCAUCAAACAAGAGGGGGCUGGUUCUACAGGAAACGAAAAGUCUGGCAAUGAGAGGCUAUUGCGUGACCAACCUAAGCUCCUAGAACAGUUCGGUAUGGAUUUGUUACCCACAAUGACACAGGUGUAUGGUUCUAGUGUAAAUGCACCAAUACAUCGCAAGUGUUUAUCGAUCAUUGGGAAGUUAAUGUACUACAGCUCCGCUGAGACAGUCCAGUCUCUCCUUGGCACAACAAACAUAUCCAGCUUCCUUGCAGGCAUUCUUGCAUGGAACGAUCUUCAAGUGUUGAUUCCUGCUCUUCAGAUAGCAGAAAUAAUGAUGGAAAAGCUUCCAGAGACAUUUUCCAAGUUGUUUGUGAGGGAAGGUGUCGUUCAUGCUGUGGUGUCACUUAUAUGUUUGGAAUCCUCCAGGCUCCAACACAAUGGCUCGUCAGGUGCCACCUCAGGAUAAAGGUAAUGAUUCUGCCAUGCCAUCACGUCCGUCAACACUGGCGUGGGGGUGAUGUGGCAGCAGAAAAUAGUUCAGUAGAUGAAUCGAAUAGUUCCAACCUUGGGGUUACAUACUCAACAACAAUCGCUUCAGAAGCUCUGAACACCAGCCUUCAUUUCGUAGUUAGUGACCAUGCAAAGUCUUUCAAAGAUAAAUAUUUCCUGACAGACACUGAUUCAGGUGAUAUUGGGGUUACUGAUGACCUUCUUAAACUCAGGGCAUUCUGAGCUAUUUUUUUGGACAUCUCAAUUGAUGUCGAAGAACAAUUAGACAAAAUAAUAUCUGAAAUGCUCUCUGAGCUUAGCAAAGUUAAUGGUGUUUCCACAUUUGAGUUCAUUAGGAGUGGUGUUACCACAGCAUUGCUUGACUAUUUGUCCUGUGGAACAUUUGGGAAGGAAAAGGUAUCUGAAAGAAACCUACCUCAGCUUCGUCAGCAGGUCCUUAGAUGAUACAAGUCGUUCGUAUCUGUUUCCCUUUCUAUUGAUCAUGAACGGGAUGAAACUGCCAUGACACUGUUGGUUAAGAAACUGCAAAGUGCAUUGUGUUCGCUGGAACGUUUCCCUCUUGUUUCAGCCAGUCUAGUAGGAUUGGUAAUGGAGGGUCCCGUCUGACUUCAGGUCUUAGUGCUCUGGCUCAACCCUUCAAGCUUCGUCUGUCCCCAGCUCAAGGUGAAAAACCACUUCGGGAUUAUUCAUCAAAUAUUGUGCUUAUCAAUCCAUUUGCCAGUUUAGCAGCUGUUGAAGGAUUUCUUUGGCCCAGAGUUCAACACAGUGAGGUUGCGUCAAAGCCUAUAAUUCCAUCUGGUAAUAAUUCUGAAUCUGUGGUUCCUGGCACCAUAGCUGGUGCAUCAUUAGCAACUGCAAUGGAUCAAUCUGGUCGGCGUCCAACAACAAGAUCAAAGUCAUCUGCUGCAUGGGGUGGUACAUCAAAGAAGGAUUCUCAUGAUGAAAGCACUACUACUGCCAAAGGAAAACUAGGUGAUUCCAAUGAGUGUAACAUUGGCUCAGCCAGUUUUAGCCAGGUGCAGCCAUCAUCUGGUUCCGGUGCUAGAAACACUUCUAGCAGAGGACCCGAUUCUACUGAAUUUCAAAGUACGAGCACAUUCGGGUCAUUUGUUGCUGCGACGAUGGCUGGGCUAGCUUCUGUUGGUGGUCGCAGUGUUAUAGGUGGUUGAGAUCGGUGUGGUCUGUCACUUGGAGGAAGCAUGAAUGACCACAAUAAACUUGUAUGUAUUCACUGCUGGUGGGGAGCAGCUUAGCAAACAUUUGACUGUAUGUCAAGCUAUCCAACGUCGUCGACUUAUGCUUGACGAGGAUGAUGAAGAAGUGUUUAAUGGAUCUUGUAUACAAAACGAUGGAAACCACUACUGGGAUGAUGUUUUCACAAUAACGUACCAGAAGGCUGAUAACCAAGGGACUUGCACCUCAUUGAACAUAAAAUCAGAUUCUUACAGGUCUAUCUCUGAAGCACAAGGGGUUUCUCUUCUUGAUAGCAUCUUGUGUGAAAUCCGAAGUGUUUGUCAAUAGCAAUUGUGUGAAAUGCGGGUUCCUUGCUCUUGUUUGUAGAUUCAGUCAGAAUUGUCCCCUGAGCAGCAGCAUGCGUUUCUGCCAGUUUGUAACCGGGGUUUCCACUUGGUGGAUUGGCUGCCCUUAGUCCCAAGCUUACUGUAGUUAGGAAGGUACUAUCUACUAUCUAUCAUGGCAUUUGCUAUUAUGGUAACUUGAUGUUACUUUUGAUUAUCGCCAGCACCCUUCAAGUGCUGCGAAUACUUCAAAUUCAACUGGGGCAACAGAGUCUGCUGCUGCUGCUGCUGCUGAUUUGCCUAGUGUGAUGACGUGCGCCAAUUAUGUGAAGCUGCCCCCGUACUCCACAAAAGUAUAGCGUGCUUGCUGUUUUUGGACAUUCCGAUGAUGAUCCCUGCUGAUGGAUUAUUGCUAUUGUUUGGACAGGAAAUCAUGCGCGAGAAGCUGCUUUAUGCGAUCCUGGAAGGCCGAGGAUCGUUUCAUUUUUCAUAAGAAUAUCCGAACUAACUUACAGGUGGCCAGUUUUAUGCUGUUCUUUAACAGGCUCAGCAAGGUCGGAUGCAGGUGCUGCUGUCGAUUUCUCCUUUCUUUUGCAUUUGUUCAGCUACAAGUUUCUGUUUCCAUUGGGCAGGCUAGGCCAUAGAGGAAGAGCCCCCCCCCCUCUUCCAGUACAUACAUGUAAAUAAAAUGGAUUUUUAGAACUGGUGAUGUUGAUCCAGAAUUGUUAAUAAAUGUGGCCCAGUGUACCAUUUCUACC